CUUGCCCUUGGAGGCACUGCAGGUGUAGCUGCGGUGUCACAUGUGUGUCAACAGGUGGCAGAGAGGAGAGAGGCUAUUUCUACACAGUUCUGAUCUAUGACCCUCUGAAUGCUUCGUAGUCUGGGGCC